rnacentral:rRNA from 1 species
GUACUAGUGGUCCAAGUUGCAGCCAUUUUUAUUGGGUCUAAAACAUCCGUAGCUUGUUUAGUAAGUCUUUUGUGAAAUUUGGCGUCUCAAGCGUCAAGCGAGCGAGAGAUACUGCUAUGCUAGAGACCGGUAGAUGUAAGGAGUAUGCCCAAGGUAGUGGUUAAAUAUGUUAAUCUUGGGUAGACUAACAAUGAGCGAAGGCACCUUACAAGGACGGAUCUGACAGUGAGGGAUGAAAGCCAGGGGCGCAAAAGGGAUUAGAUACCCGCGUA